rnacentral:rRNA from 1 species
AACGAACGCUGGCGGCAGGCUUAACACAUGCAAGUCGAGCGCCCAGCAAUGGGAGCGGCGCACGGGUGAGUAACACGUGGGAAUGUGCCCUAUGGUUCGGAAUAACGCAGGGAAACUUGCGCUAAUACCGGAUAAGCCCUUACGGGGAAAGAUUUAUCGCCAUUGGAGCGGCCCGCGUUGGAUUAGCUAGUUGGUGGGGUAAAGCCUACCAAGGCAACGAUCCAUAGCUGGUCNGAGAGGACGACCAGCCACACUGGGACUGAGACACGGCCCAGACUCCUACGGGAGGCAGCAGUGGGGAAUCUUGGACAAUGGGGGAAACCCUGAUCCAGCCAUGCCGCGUGAGUGACGAAGG